rnacentral:rRNA from 1 species
UACGUAGGUGGCAAGCGUUGUCCGGAUUUAUUGGGUUUAAAGGGUGCGUAGGCGGCUUGGCAAGUCGGGUGUGAAACCUCCAGGCUCAACCUGGAGACGCCACUCGAUACUGCUAUGGCUAGAGUCCGGUAGGGGACCACGGAAUUCCUGGUGUAGCGGUGAAAUGCGCAGAUAUCAGGAGGAACACCGGUGGCGAAGGCGGUGGUCUGGGCCGGCACUGACGCUGAGGAGCGAAAGCGUGGGUAGCAAACAGG